rnacentral:rRNA from 1 species
AGAGCGAACGCUGGCGGCAUGCUUAGCACAUGCAAGUCGCACGGUCGGAGCAAUCCGGCAGUGGCGGACGGGUGAGUAACGCGUAGGUAUCUAUCCGAGGGUGGGGGAUAACGCCGGGAAACUGGUGCUAAUACCGCAUGAUGACUGAGGUCCAAAGGUCGCAAGACCGCCCAUGGAGGAGCCUGCGUCCGAUUAGCUUGUUGGUGGGGUAAUGGCCUACCAAGGCGAUGAUCGGUAGCUGGUCUGAGAGGAUGAUCAGCCACACUGGGACUGAGACACGGCCCAGACUCCUACGGGAGGCAGCAGUGGGGAAUAUUGGACAAUGGGCGAAAGCCUGAUCCAGCAAUGCCGCGUGGAUGAAGAAGGUCUUCGGAUUGUAAAGUCCUUUCGGCGGGGACGAUGAUGACGGUACCCGCAGAAGAAGCCCCGGCUAACUUCGUGCCAGCAGCCGCGGU